rnacentral:rRNA from 1 species
GUCCUUUUGAAUAUAAUUUAAGGUCUGGCCUGCCCACUGAAAUUUUGAAUGGCCGUGGUAUUUUGACCGUGCUAAGGUAGCAUAAUCAUUAGUUUUUUAAUUAAAAACUGGAAUGAAAGGUUAGAUAAGAAAAUAACUGUCUCUAUUUAAUUUUAUUAGAAUUUUAUUUUUAAGUUAAAAAGCUUAAAUUUUAUUAAAAGACGAGAAGACCCUAUAGAGUUUUAUUAUAAAUUUUUAUUUAAUAUUUUAGAAAUUAUUUAUUAAAUAUAUUUUAUAAUUUGAUUGGGGCGAUUGAAAAAUUUAGUAAACUUUUUUUGUAUUAUAACAUUAAUUUAUGAAUAUUUGAUCCAAUAAUUUUGAUUAUAAGAUAAAAUUACCUUAGGGAUAACAGCGUAAUUUUUUUUGAAAGUUCUUAUUGAAAAAAAAGAUUGCGA